rnacentral:tRNA from 1 species
GCCUUCAUGGUGUAGUGGUCAGCACGCUCGACGUGUAUUCGAGAGGUCCGUGGUUCAAGUCCUGGCAAGGGCA